AGUGAACGCUGGCGGCGUGCUUAACACAUGCAAGUCGAACGAGAACGGGUUAUAGCUUGCUAUAAUUGUCAGCUAAGUGGCGCACGGGUGAGUAAUGUAUAGGUAAUAUGCCUCUUACUAAGGGAUAACAAAUGGAAACGUUUGCUAAUACCUUAUACUCCUUAUUAACAGAAGUUAAUAAGGGAAAGAUUUAUUGGUAAGAGAUUAGCCUGUAUUGUAUCAGUUAGUUGGUGGGGUAAUGGCUUACCAAGACUAUGACACAUAACUGGUUUGAGAGGAUGAUCAGUCACACUGGGACUGAGACACGGUCCAGACUCAUACGGGAGAAAGCAGUGGGGAAUAUUGCACAAUGGACGAAAGUCUGAUGCAGCAACGCCGCGUGGAGGAUGACACAUUUCGGUGCGUAAACUCCUUUUAUAUGAGCAGAUAAUGACGGUAUUAUAUGAAUAAGCACCGGCUAACUCCGUGCCAGCAGCCGCCGUAACAC
rnacentral:rRNA from 1 species